UAGGCCCAAAACAGUUGCUUGCAAAGCCCAGUAUUUCAAAUUCUGCGGAUUUGAGAAAAAAUUCUUGUGACGCAAGAGCCCUGCUUCAGUACCAAAACCCUUACAUACAAAUCGGAUCAUUAUCAUAUUCAUCUGUUCAUCUGCAAUCGAUUAACCGUAAGGCUCAAGCAAUUUCCGUGCUCUUGAGAUUGAGAUAUCAAUCAGAAGUACAGCUCCGAAAUGGCGUUAACGAACUUUAUACUGACGGUGGUGGGAGUAGGCGCCGUGGUUUUACUGGUGAGGAGCGACAUCAAACAGUCUGCCUCCAUCUUCAAGCGUAACGUCCGUCAAAUUCGCCAUUGGCUCGAGGAAGAGUCCGCUUCCGCCGCUAAGGAAAUAGAGAAGGCAAACCCAAAGGAGAUACCUAAGAAGGAUAUUCCCAAGGAGGAGAAGCAUUAGAUUUGACUCUUUCCCCGCUAAUGUUUCAAAUUUUUGGUCCAUAGAGUAUUUUCUAUGUCGUUUUCUAGCCCCUCAACUAGUGGCACUCUAUGCUUGUUAAGGUUAACACAAUAUAAUGAUUGGUGUAUGUGUCCUGCUACACACUAUUUUUCUUCUGAUAUAUACUGAGAUGUAUAGAUUAUGCAACAACGUAAAGAUUUGAACUGGUUGUUGGACGCGAUGAACAACUGAUUUUGAUACUUAAUGUCAUGAUGAGCUAUUUCACAUUC